rnacentral:lncRNA from 1 species
AAAGCCCCUUUAUUCAGAUCCUCAAUGCAGAAGCUCUACCACGCCAGCCACCUUCCUGUCAGGUGUCUGGUAAGCAGGUUAACUGAUCUGUCGAUUAGGAGCCGCCAGCCUACGUGCAGCGACUGGGGAACGCAGCCCUUCCCGGUGUCUGCCUUGCCAGCGCUAACUGCAAACCAGUGACGCAAACUGUCUCACGGAGAACCUCAUCAAGCACCUCGCCGAGAGUAGCCUAGGUCGGCUAAGAAGCCAAACUUAGGCUGCGACCCCGUAGUGCUCCUCAGAGCUCGCUGACGACAAGCCUCCCGGAAUGCUUUCGGGCUGGUCCAGGAGCCAGCCAGGGGAGAGUCGGCUUUAUUCAUUAAUUGAGACAG